AAACAGGACAUUUAAUCAUGGCCACGAAUUAAACCUUCAUUUACACUCCAGUCAAGUAAUGCUCUUUUCCCCUUUCUUUCCAAAUCAUAAAGAAACUUCAAAUUAAUAUUACCGCAUUCAGCCAUUUAACUGUCUAAACCAGAAAACAAGCAAUGUACUUCCUAACCAACACACGCAACGAGCUUUUACAAAAUCACCGCAAUCAUGCAACCGAUUAGGUCAUAAUACGGUUUCCAUAACAUUCAACUACUCCGACUACCAUAAAUAAACCACCACUUCGCGAUAAAUGAUACAACACUUUCGCGAUAAUACAAGGGAUAAUUUUCUAAUUAACCCAAAAGUGGUUUUUCAAAUAAAUAUAAUGGACAACUAUUGCCAUUUAUUAACAAAUCUUUCAAUUUUAAACUAAAAGCACUCAAAGAGAAAAAAUACAGGAGAAAUAGAAAAGGAAUCGGUGGAAUAAUUCUGAACGCAUGACGUAUCGCCAAAUCAAGAGUUGGAAAUGACAAGUGAACAUACGGUGUAUGGUCAAAACUAGCAAGUGGUUAAAGAAUGCUUUGAACACCGUCAAAAACAGUGAAACAGUUUGUAGGUGCAAAUCUUACGAAUUCAUGUAUGGAGGUAUUAACCAUUCUUCUUUGUUUGUUAUUUACGGUACUACUUUUACAUAUGCCCUCGGAUGUAUGUUGGUGCAAAAUGUGGCGAUAUGUGUUGUGCGCUGGUUUUUGGCGCGAUUAUGUGUUAUGCAAUGGUUUUUGGCACGAUGUUGUUUGUAUGGCAACCCUUUUUACGUUGAAACAUUAUUUUUAUGGAAUGGUUGGUUUAUUUGGUGGGCAUUUUGAAAUGGCUUAUGUUGCAAUGAAAGACGUGGUGGUAAAAUUUCAGUCGCGUAUUUUGGAUUGUGUGCAAGGUAAAUUUAGUAUUAAAAGGUACGGUGUUGGAGUUGUUCAAAAGUUUUUUGUUCAUGACUGUGUUUAUGUGGAUUUUAUUCAUGAAUGUAAUGCCGGAUUUUGUAUGCUUUGUGUUUCAGAAGAUAGGGUGGAAGGAUAAAGUGGCGGAAAUGGAUGAGUUUUGCUGAUGCUUGAAAUUGAUAUUUCUGCUCUUUGAAGAAGCAUUCACAAUGCUGGGGAAAUUCCUGGGGAGAAAAUGGCUACAUUAAAAUGUCAAGAAACAAGCACAAUCAGCGUGGUAUUGCUUCUCAUGCAGUUUAUCCUUUGGUUUAAAAUCUCACCAACAUCUCUAUACUUUGACAUAAAUUAAACAGAAUCAUCAUAGGCUUUGUUACUAGAUUUAUGUAUUAAAUCAAGUGAAAACAGAGAAUGAUCAUAUGUAUUAUGUCUCUUCAUGGCUGUAUAUUUUGUCAUGCAGCAUAAUAUUUAUAAUAUUAAUAAAACUUUAUUUUCAUAA